UUUUAUAUAAUUCAAUCCUAGCUAUGAGUUAAAAAUAUCUAUAAACAUAGCUAAGACCGUAAGGAUGAAGGAUCAUUGAUUAUUUAAAGAGAUUUGGACAAAUUAGAGUAAAUAAACUAAUUUGGUUAUAAAGUAUGAAGUAAUGAAGAUCUAACAAACAUAUAAACAUCAUGUUUCACCGACGUCACGCGGUUCCGUUCUGAAGUUAAAAAUAUAUUUCUAUUUGUAAGACUACAAAAUGAAGAAAGAAGAUUCGACAAGAUUAUCUUAUUUAAUAAAUAAAUUUAUAAAUAUGUGGGUUAUUUUUCAUGACAAAGUCAAAUGUCCUAAUCGAAACUUUAAUGUUGUUUUGAUUGUAUUUUAAUUAUGAAGUCCAUUGUUUGCCUACAUUGUAUUUAUAUGAAUUUGUUUGACCAAUUAUUUGACUUUAGCAUUCAAUAUCGAAGGGUUUUUGCCACUAAAACUGAGUCGCUCUAGGUAUACGUAAUAUUGUCUUUUGUUUCAUACACGCAAACUCAACAAAAAUGAAACUUAAUCAUUUGAUUACUAUAAUUUCGAUAAAGUAAUUACUUUAUAUUAUAUAAUUAUAUUUGUAUAAAACCAUAAAACUUGUUGUAAAGACUAUUUAAAAUCAAUAUUGGAAAA
rnacentral:lncRNA from 1 species